rnacentral:rRNA from 1 species
CGACCGGCGCACGGGUGAGUAACGCGUAUCCAACUUCCCAUUACUGUGGGAGUAACCUAGCCGAAAGGCAGACUAAUACCGCAUAGUCUUCGAUGACGGCAUCAGAUUUGAAGUAAAGAUUUAUCGGUAAUGGAUGGGGAUGCGUCUGAUUAGCUUGUUGGCGGGGUAACGGCCCACCAAGGCAACGAUCAGUAGGGGUUCUGAGAGGAAGGUCCCCCACAUUGGAACUGAGACACGGUCCAA